GGUGGGACCGCGACGGGUCUCCCGGACGAGCACGCCGUACCCGGACAGCGACAAGACGGUGUCCC
rnacentral:ncRNA from 1 species